AGCAGCCGCGGUAAUUCCAGCUCCAAUAGCGUAUAUUAAAGUUGUUGCAGUUAAAAAGCUCGUAGUUGAAUUUCGGGAUCAGUUGGUCGGUCGUGCCUCGGUACGUACUGGUCAAAUUGAUUCCUACCUUCUGACGAACCACGAUGUCAUUAAUUUGGUGUCGCGGGAAAUCAGGACUGUUACUUUGAAAAAAUUAGAGUGUUUAAAGCAGGCUCGCGCUUGAAUACAUUAGCAUGGAAUAAUGAAAUAGGACGUUUGAUUCUAUUUUGUUGGUUUCUAGGAUCGACGUAAUGAUUAAUAGGGAUAGUUGGGGGCAUUAGUAUUCAAUUGUCAGAGGUGAAAUUCUUGGAUUAUUGGAAGACUAACUACUGCGAAAGCAUUUGCCAAGGAUGUUUUCAUUAAUCAAGAACGAAAGUUAGGGGAUCGAAGACGAUCAGAUACCGUCGUAGUCUUAACCAUAAACUAUGCCGACUAGGGAUCGGAUGAUGUUAAUUUUUUCAAUGACUCAUUCGGCGCCUUA
rnacentral:misc_RNA from 1 species